rnacentral:lncRNA from 10 species
GUGGCUUUGCCCCCUGCACAUUUGCCAGCAGGCAUCAGCAGGACCCUGGGAAAGCAACAGUGAUGUAGUCAGGGCCACCUCCUCAUCUCCUGCUCCAUGCUAAAGAGAGAGCCAGACCAAGACUGGAGGUCUCUAGGAGGGACAAAUAGAGCCACCAAGUCCUCGCAGAGGAGCAGCCCCUGCAUGCUGCUGUGAGCGUGGGGUACCCCACCUCCUCACACCAGCCCCACCAGCAGGAGGUCGACGGCCACGUUCUACAGCUCAAAGGCCAUGGACAUCCCAGCCAUCAGGACUCAGGGCGAGCCUUAACAGAGUACAUUGGAUCUCAUCCUUCCUCCACUCAAACCGCCAGGAGCUCCUCUGCUCCACACAAGGCCCCUUCAGGGAACCUCGAGGAGCUCAGCAUGCCCCACCUCAGGGCCUUGGCAUGUGCUGCUCUGUCCUGAGGUCUCCACUGGGAUCCCUGCCUCCCUUUCCUUGGAUGUGUGUUCCUUCAUCAGCCAGGCCUGCCCUGGCCCAGGCUAAAUCUCCACUGGAGCUCACCACUGCCUGAUGCACCAGACACUUGGUCUGCUUCUCCUGGCCACUCUGACUAGAAGAGCCCACCAAGGCAGGCACUUGGGUCUGUCUUGUUCACAGCCAUAUCCCCAGCCCCUGGCACCCAGCAGCAUUCAAUAAAUGGUAAUUGAAUGGAUAAAUGAAUGAAUGAGGAGGUACCUGUUCAUUCAUUUAAUGCUAAUACUAAUACUGAUUAACAAUAAUAAUAGCAGGAGCCG